AUUCGCCCUUAGAGUUUGAUCCUGGCUCAGGACGAACGCUGGCGGCGUGCCUAACACAUGCAAGUCGAGCGGAGAGGAGGGAGCUUGCUUCCGAAUCUUAGCGGCGGACGGGUGAGUAACGCGUGAGCAACCUGCCUUUUACUGGGGGAUAACGCAUCGAAAGAUGUGCUAAUACCGCGUAAGACCACAGCAUCGCAUGGUGCAGGGGUCAAAGGAGCAAUCCGGUAGAAGAUGGGCUCGCGUCCGAUUAGCUAGUUGGUGAGAUAACAGCCCACCAAGGCGACGAUCGGUAGCCGACCUGAGAGGGUGAUCGGCCACAUUGGAACUGAGACACGGUCCAGACUCCUACGGGAGGCAGCAGUGGGGAAUAUUGGGCAAUGGGCGAAAGCCUGACCCAGCAACGCCGCGUGAGGGAAGAAGGGUUUCGGCUCGUAAACCUCUGUCCUAUGGGACGAAGAAGUGACGGUACCAUAGGAGGAAGCCCCGGCUAACUACGUGCCAGCAGCCGCGGUAAUACGUAGGGGGCGAGCGUUGUCCGGAAUGAUUGGGCGUAAAGGGCGCGUAGGCGGUCCGUUAAGUCUGGAGUGAAAGUCCUGCUUUCAAGGUGGGAAUUGCUUUGGAUACUGAUGGGCUCGAGUGCAGGAGAGGAAAGCGGAAUUACCGGUGUAGCGGUGAAAUGCGUAGAGAUCGGUAGGAACACCAGUGGCGAAGGCGGCUUUCUGGACUGAAACUGACGCUGAGGCGCGAAAGCGUGGGGAGCAAACAGGAUUAGAUACCCUGGUAGUCCACGCGGUAAACGAUGAGUGCUAGGUGGUGGAGGUAUCCACCCCCUCAGUGC
rnacentral:rRNA from 1 species